rnacentral:tRNA from 1 species
AAAUAUUUAAAUUAAGCUUCUAACUUAAAUACUGAAUAAAUUUAUUCAUAUUUCUU